CCCGCCUGUUUACCAAAAACAUCACCUCUAGCAUAACAAGUAUUAGAGGCAUUGCCUGCCCAGUGACUAAAGUUAAACGGCCGCGGUAUCCUGACCGUGCAAAGGUAGCAUAAUCACUUGUUCCUUAAUUAGGGACUAGAAUGAAUGGCUAAACGAGGGUUCAACUGUCUCUUACUUUCAAUCAGUGAAAUUGACCUUCCAGUGAAGAGGCUGGAAUACUACAAUAAGACGAGAAGACCCUAUGGAGCUUUAAUUUACUAGUUUAAUUUAUAUAAUAACAACCUAAUGGACCAAGACAAAAUAAAUAUAAACUAAAAAAUUUCGGUUGGGGUGACCUCGGAGAAUAGAAAAUCCUCCGAAUGAUUUUAACCUAGACCUACAAGUCAAAGUAAUAUUAAUAUCUUAUUGACCCAAUUAUUGAUCAACGGACCAAGUUACCCUAGGGAUAACAGCGCAAUCCUAUUUAAGAGUUCAUAUCGACAAUUAGGGUUUACGACCUCGAUGUUGGAUCAGGACAUCCCAAUGGUGCAGAAGCUAUUAAUGGUUCGUUUGUUCAACGAU
rnacentral:rRNA from 1 species